UUACAAAUAGGAUGGUGUUCUUGAUAGUUC
rnacentral:piRNA from 1 species